rnacentral:lncRNA from 1 species
UGAGAAGUCAUCUGGGGUGAUAAAACUCCAUUAACAAUGUGUGUGGAUACAAACACAAACCACAGCUUUCUCCGCUCAUCAGGCACCUGCCCAUGUUUGUUUUUACAUUGCUCCUUAUUCUACAAUCAGCACUCCCUGAAGCUGGACCGUGAUGUUAAAGCACAGAUACACAAUGGGGAAUUCAUUUCAUCAAGGGAUCGACUCAGAGGUGACUUCUGCAAACAGAAAUACUAUGGGAUCAGAUUCCUUCCACUCCUGCAACUGAAUAGAGCUCAGGACACAGAUGUGGCAGCACCAAGAGGUGCCAGGCGAGUCCUCUAAGAGAGACAGGAAGCUGAGGAGAGAAGGCGUUUUCCAGGGCGUGAGUAAUCCUUGGCUAGCUUACAGAAGAGCACUUUGGAGAAAAUUAGGAAGAUCAUUUACUGCGGUAGACAAAGACUUGGACAGUGAAAUGCAAACUUUUAAGACGUUGUGGAUAACACUUGAGGACUCUUGGCCCUAACGCCACAGGAAUCCAGUCCCUAUGGACAAUGGUGUAGGAACACGAUGAGAGAGUCAGAAGAUGCUGAGCACAGGACAGUGAAUGAAGAAGAGAAGACCCGGGCCUCAGAUUCUUGGCAUUGUACAUGACUAAUAGCUCUCUCUCAUCAAUCGUUUGUGGGGAAGACAUAUUUUCAUGAUAUGAGUG